rnacentral:rRNA from 1 species
GAUGAACGCUGGCGGCGUGCCUAAUACAUGCAAGUCGAGCGAACGGACGAGAAGCUUGCUUCUCUGAUGUUAGCGGCGGACGGGUGAGUAACACGUGGAUAACCUACCUAUAAGACUGGGAUAACUUCGGGAAACCGGAGCUAAUACCGGAUAAUAUUUUGAACCGCAUGGUUCAAAAGUGAAAGACGGUCUUGCUGUCACUUAUAGAUGGAUCCGCGCUGCAUUAGCUAGUUGGUAAGGUAACGGCUUACCAAGGCAACGAUGCAUAGCCGACCUGAGAGGGUGAUCGGCCACACUGGAACUGAGACACGGUCCAGACUCCUACGGGAGGCAGCAGUAGGGAAUCUUCCGCAAUGGGCGAAAGCCUGACGGAGCAACGCCGCGUGAGUGAUGAAGGUCUUCGGAUCGUAAAACUCUGUUAUUAGGGAAGAACAUAUGUGUAAGUAACUGUGCACAUCUUGACGGUACCUAAUCAGAAAGCCACGGCUAACUACGUGCCAGCAGCCGCGGUAAUACGUAGGUGGCAAGCGUUAUCCGGAAUUAUUGGGCGUAAAGCGCGCGUAGGCGGUUUUUUAGUCUGAUGUGAAAGCCCACGGCUCAACCGUGGAGGGUCAUUGGAAACUGGAAAACUUGAAUGCAGAAGAGGAAAGUGGAAUUCCAUGUGUAGCGGUGAAAUGCGCAGAGAUAUGGAGGAACACCAGUGGCGAAGGCGACUUUCUGGUCUGUAACUGACGCUGAUGUGCGAAAGCGUGGGGAUCAAACAGGAUUAGAUACCCUGGUAGUCCACGCCGUAAACGAUGAGUGCUAAGUGUUAGGGGGUUUCCGCCCCUUAGUGCUGCAGCUAACGCAUUAAGCACUCCGCCUGGGGAGUACGACCGCAAGGUUGAAACUCAAAGGAAUUGACGGGGACCCGCACAAGCGGUGGAGCAUGUGGUUUAAUUCGAAGCAACGCGAAGAACCUUACCAAAUCUUGACAUCCUUUGACAACUCUAGAGAUAGAGCCUUCCCCUUCGGGGGACAAAGUGACAGGUGGUGCAUGGUUGUCGUCAGCUCGUGUCGUGAGAUGUUGGGUUAAGUCCCGCAACGAGCGCAACCCUUAAGCUUAGUUGCCAUCAUUAAGUUGGGCACUCUAAGUUGACUGCCGGUGACAAACCGGAGGAAGGUGGGGAUGACGUCAAAUCAUCAUGCCCCUUAUGAUUUGGGCUACACACGUGCUACAAUGGACAAUACAAAGGGCAGCGAAACCGCGAGGUCAAGCAAAUCCCAUAAAGUUGUUCUCAGUUCGGAUUGUAGUCUGCAACUCGACUACAUGAAGCUGGAAUCGCUAGUAAUCGUAGAUCAGCAUGCUACGGUGAAUACGUUCCCGGGUCU